UAGGGAAUAUUGGACAAUGGGUGAGAGCCUGAUCCAGCCAUGCCGCGUGCAGGAAGAAGGCGUUAUGCGUUGUAAACUGCUUUUUGCCAGGGGAUAAAAAGACCGUGCGCGGUUAAUUGAAGGUACCUGGUGAAUAAGCCACGGCUAACUACGUGCCAGCAGCCGCGGUAAUACGUAGGUGGCAAGCGUUGUCCGGAUUUAUUGGGUUUAAAGGGUGCGUAGGUGGCCCUGUAAGUCAGUGGUGAAAUAUCUCAGCUUAACUGAGAGGGUGCCAUUGAUACUGCAGGGCUUGAGUACAGAUGAGGUAGGCGGAAUUGACGGUGUAGCGGUGAAAUGCAUAGAUAUCGUCAAGAACACCGAUAGCGAAGGCAGCUUACCAAGCUGUAACUGACACUGAGGCACGAAAGUGUGGGGAUCGAAACAGGAUUAGAUACCCCNGUAGUCCCUGAGCGGGCUGGCAAGGCGCAU
rnacentral:rRNA from 1 species